rnacentral:lncRNA from 1 species
CUGUAAUUCCUGCUAUCUGAUUUGACUGCUUCUUUACUGCUGGUGUAUAUCACAAGUACAGUUGGAUGGGAACUUUCCAAGCUUGGGGGGUUUUUUCCCCCCUAGAAGAGAGAGUCUGCUGGAAAAUGUCACUUAUGUUGAAACCGAAAUGUUUGAGGAAACCUGGCUGUUUGACAACCUAUUGCUGACACAUUGGCCAGCAGCAAGAACAAGGCUCCCCAUCACAUACGGGAAGGUGAGGCAUUCAGGCAGCUUGGCAGAAACUCAAGAGAA